rnacentral:lncRNA from 10 species
GGAUCCCUUGUUCUGGGGGAAGCCAUCUAUCAUGUCAUGGUAGGCUACAGGGAGUUCCAUGUGGGGAAGAACUGAAACCUCCUCCCAACAGCCAUGUGAGGAAGCUUGGAAAACCUUAGAAGAGUAUCCUUUAAAAAAAAGUUUUAAAUUAAACACAAAUAAAUACAUAAACAGUACAACUGCAAUCUCAUGAGACAUCCCAAGCGAGACAACUCAGGGCUCACAAUCUACUUAAAAAUUUCGAUAUAGUCACUCAUUUAUUCUACAAACAUUUACCAAAGUCCUUUGAUGUGUCAGCCAUAAAAGACAUACUCUCAGAAAACUGAGGUCAUAAAUGACAUUGCUGAUUGGGAAAAUCAGAGAGGAAGAGGUUUUCGAGUUGGCCUUAAAGGACAGGUGGAAUUUCUACAGGCGGAAAUGUGAGGUUGGGCGUCCAGUGGAGAUAUCCCUGAAGGAGGAAAAAGCAUGAGAUAAGAUGGCAGCGUAUUCAGAGAAACAGCAAGUGACAGAGCAGAGGAACGGCUGGCCCAGCCAAUCCUGGAGCUGCUGUUGCAGCACUUGUUCCCCAAACAAGUGCUCCUACAUUCUGAGGACUCAGGAGAGUGCAGCUUGCUCUGUGAGUGGGUGACAACCUCUUGGCGACUCAGGCUCAGCUGAGGAUGGUGCCAGUGUGCCGGAGACAGCCGUCAUACUGCCGGAUAGAGUGGCUCACUUGCAUGUAUUUGGAACAAAAAAAGGAGAUGCCUGGCAGCCCCGCUCUCUGCAGUGCUGUUGAGCCACCAAUUUUUGUGGUUUUGUGACCACAAGUGCUGACUGAUGCGACAUGACCCCAGUCUUGUCAGUGAAUCAUCACCAGGCUGCUUACUGGAAACUGGAUGCAGCAAGGAAAUAGGAUUUAACCGCUCUCUGCCUCCCAGGAGCCCUGAAAUCAGCAUUCCCAGAGGAAAGAAGAUGGCCAUCUGGGCUUGGCUUCCGGCUCCCCCCAUCUGGCUGGAACACACAUCAGUCACGUUUCCUGCCCAAGCCCUCCGAGCAUUUGAAUGUGCUGUGAGCAGCCUACCUCAGCCUCCUCUCUUUACACAUGAAGACACUGAGGCCCAUUCAGGGCAAGUGGCAGGUCCCUGUUCUCAGAGUUGGGGCCAAGCAGGUAUUAAAACCAUUGUGUUCUGA